UUAUAGUUACAUAAAUAUAUCCAAUAUACAAAAAUAUGUGCAUAUAUUUCUAUAAAUAUAUUCAUGUAUGAGAAUAUAUGCAACCGAAGGGCCACAUUUCGGUUAAUAUGUCUAUGUAUGUGACAUGGAUGUCAUCCUGCUUUACGUGACAUGUGUGUAACGUAGACUGCGUGUGUGGCAGACUGAAGGAUGGAUGGGAGGGAUUUGAUUUUUUUAUUGUACAAUCACUUUGUGCCUUGUGAUAUUUAUCUCACCCAGCUCAGAGGCAGGCGAUUAGCAGCUCAGAGGAAGGUAAAAUAACGCACUGUGUGAACCAAGCAUACAGGACAAUUCCAGUUUGGGACCUUGGAACCUUCUACGCCACCCUCUUCCACCAGGCCCCCAAGAAGUAGGGCUGUGACACGUGGCCAAGUCACUCCUCAGCUGAAUAUUCACUGAAGUCACUCCUCAGCCGAAAUACUGCUCAGAGCUGCUGCACGAUGAGUCUGGGGCCAAGGCUUUCUGCCCUUCCCAGGAUUCCAGGAGCCCCCAUGCACAGCACCUCGGGCUUGCCCAAAUGAUCCCCAAAACCAAGGGCAGAAAAUUUUUGGAAAAGGCCAAGUUCUGCUUUCCCAGAGCUAUCGGGCCUGCGAAACAGAGAGAAAAAAGUCAGAAGCAGGAGCUGGUAAUAGAACUAUUAUCCAUGUGUAUUAUUUUUUCGGUAGGGGAGCUAAAAUAAUACUAGGUUCCGCUCACGUAAAUCGGAUUAGCAACCCACAGAGGCGAAUUAGGCACUUGCUGUUUCUAAAGGUAUAAAGGUCAAAUAAGGUAUUUUGGAGGAAGCCUGACUACCAGGAAAAUAAAAGGGGGUGGGGGAAUUAUUCAGGAACAUGCUACUUUAUUUCCUGAAAAAAAAAAAAAAGGUGCUAUAGAAGUUGAUUGUCACUCAGAGUCAUUGCACCGCAAACAAGGAGGCAAUAAAACAUAUCCUACUCAUGGACACAGGGCUUCUGAAAUUAUUUCCUUUCCUAUCAAGUUUAAUUGAGAAGUUAACAAUUGUUUCUCUCAUUACUUAGAUUUCAAAAACAAAACAAAACAAAACUUCAAUGAGAUUUAAGUAGCUUUUAAAGAGGAGGAAAAGUUGAUAACUAUUGGAUGCACCCGAAGAAAAAAUAAAUAAAUAUCCUGUGAUGACCUCAAGGAUGUCUUGCAGCUUUAGAACUUCAUAACCUGAGAUGGCUGCCCUCUUGUGGUGGAAAUGAGUUCGAACGCUUGAAAGAAAGAAGUCCAUAAAUAAAUAAAUAAAUAAAUAAGUAGUCUCCAGAGACUGAUUUGGGAUCGAAGUACAGGAUGACUGUACCUACCCGUUUUCCAGGGAAGAGCAAUAGUCAGAAAUGAUAAAUCUAAAUACAGACGAGCUAUUUCUUUUUUUUUUCUCUCUCUUCACUAAUGGCUACCUUCCACCUGCAACUUAGAAUGCUGGGUUAUUUAAUACUUUGGGAGAGUGUCUGUUUGCCUUGAAAAUAUCACUUGCAGCUAACCAUUGUCAAUUCUACCGUUUUCAAAGGUCCAUUCAAAGUUUUUCAGUUCAGAGGGUGAGAUUCAGUCUUGCUGAGUUUAUCAGACUUAGUGCAUCUGCCAGCAAAUGUGGAAGGGGCAGAGGUGGGAGUGGGGAGUUGUUUAAGAUAGGGAUAGUAGAAGUUGCAAAUUCAAAUGCAUCAGAGGGUACAGACAAGUUAUGUAAAAAAGCAAAGAUGACCAGAUAAUGAUUCCACAUAAAGGAGGUUGUUGCUAUUCCAUUUCAGUCAUCUCUUGGCAGUUUCUCAGGAGAUAGUGGAAAUUUGCAUUUGAUUGUGUGUGGACAAGACUCGGGAUGAAAUUAACUGCUUACAGUCAUACUUUAGCAAUUUUAGCACUUCAGCUCACAUGAUAUUCCAUUUUAUUGCAUUCUGUAGCUAUUAGCAUUCAGUAUUGUUCUUGCUAGGCCAAACAUUAUGCAAAUCAACAUUAAAAUAGUGAUCCCCAUGUAUUGUAAAGUUCACAGCAGGCAUUACGUGAUCCAUCUACCUUGUAAUUGUCAUUCCAUGGAAACCUGUGGCAACUGCCCUGAGAAACCCUCUUUGCUUUUUAGCAUACAUAUCGCUUUGUUACAAGGGUGACACCCAUAACCAUCCCUACUUACUUUACCUGGAUGAAGUUUUUUUUACAGGAACUUGGAGCCAAGGCAAAAGAGAAGCAUUUAGUCAAUCAAAUGUUUUCCUUUUUGGUGUUUGAUUAGACAUGGUAGAAAGGAUGGGAGAGGUGGAGUGAUUUAUAUCAGAAACUAGGCCAAGUUGGCCAAAUCAGGAUCACUGCUUUCAGCAAGUACCAACUACAUCUUCUUAAAAAUUAAAAAGAAUGAAUUUUGUGCAUUGAUUAGACUGUCACACAGUUUAAGAUGUACACCUUAAGUUAUGUCUGUAAACUAUGUUGAUAACACUCUAAGAUGUAGUUGGGUGACCUGGGUUCUAAUUCCUGGUUCUGUCAUGGAUGACUGACUUUAAAAUGGUCAUUUCAUCUGUUAAUUGGGGUAAAUAAAUAUAUGUUUGCUUGCUUCAGACUGACAUGAUGAAGGUCAAAUGGAUAACAUGUGUGAACUUAGUUUCUGAUUGCUACUCACUCUAUGUAUCUUCAAAUGUAUUCUUUGGCCUUCUGUCUGCAAUAUGGCCUGGUUUUAAGAAAUAGGACUUUGGAUGCCUUUCUUCUCCUCCUCUUUCUCCUCCUUCUCCUUCUCUUCUCCCAGCUUUUAUUAUAUUGCCAAACAGUGGAUAUUUCAUCAGAAAGGCCACCAGUUGGGUCAGUCAAUCUAAAGCAGAGGUCCCCAACCAUUUUGGCACCAGGGACCAGUUUUGUGGAGGAAAAUUUUUCUACAGACCAGGUUGGGGGUGAUGGUUUCAGGAUGAAACGGUUCCACGUCAGAUCGUCAGGCAUUAGUUAGGUUCUCAUAAGGAGCAUGCAACCUAGAUCCCUCAUACAUGCAGUUCACAGUAGGGUUUGA
rnacentral:lncRNA from 10 species